rnacentral:rRNA from 1 species
CCUACGGGAGACAGCAGUGAGGAAUAUUGGUCAAUGGGCGCGAGCCUGAACCAGCCAAGUCGCGUGAAGGAUGACUGCCCUACGGAUUGUAAACUUCUUUUGUCAGGGAAUAAAGUGAGGCACGUGUGCCUUUUUGUGUGUACUUUAUGAAUAAGGAUCGGCUAACUCCGUGCCAGCAGCCGCGGUAAUACGGAGGAUCCGAGCGUUAUCCGGAUUUAUUGGGUUUAAAGGGAGCGUAGAUGGGGUGUUAAGUCAGGUGUGAAAGUUUGCGGCUCAACCGUGAAAUUGCGGUUGAUACUGGCAGUCUUGAGUACAGGAGAGGUAGGCGGAAUGCGUGGUGUAGCGGUGAAAUGCUUAGAUAUCACGAAGAACUCCGAUUGCGAAGGCAGCAUACUGAACUGCAACUGACACUGAUGCUCGAAAGUGUGGGUAUCAAACAGGAUUAGAUACCCGAGUAGUC